CCUACGGGCGGCAGCAGUGGGGAAUAUUGCACAAUGGGGGAAACCCUGAUGCAGCAACGCCGCGUGAGUGAAGAAGUAUUUCGGUAUGUAAAGCGCUAUCAGCAGGGAAGAAGAAAGACGGUACCUGACUAAGAAGCCCCGGCUAACUACGUGCCAGCAGCCGCGGUAAUACGUAGGGGGCAAGCGUUAUCCGGAUUUACUGGGUGUAAAGGGAGCGUAGACGGCUGUGCAAGUCUGAAGUGAAAGCCCGUGGCUCAACCGCGGAACUGCUUGUGAAACUGUAUAGCUGGAGUACUGGAGAGGCAGGCGGAAUUCCUAGUGUAGCGGUGAAAUGCGUAGAUAUUAGGAGGAACACCAGUGGCGAAGGCGGCCUGCUGGACAGAAACUGACGUUGAGGCUCGAAAGCGUGGGAAGCAAACAGGAUUAGAUACCCCGGUAGUCC
rnacentral:rRNA from 1 species